rnacentral:rRNA from 1 species
GAUGAACGCUAGCGGGAGGCUUAAUACAUGCAAGUCGAGGGGUAACAUGAGAGCUUGCUCUUGAUGACGACCGGCGCACGGGUGAGUAACGCGUACACAACCUACCUUUAAGUGGGGGAUAGCCUUUGGAAACGAAGAUUAAUACCCCAUAGUAUUAUCAUAUUAAUGAUUAGAUAAUUAAAGCUCCGGCGCUUAAAGAUGGGUGUGCGUCCCAUUAGUUAGUUGGUAGGGUAACGGCCUACCAAGACGAUGAUGGGUAGGGGGCGUGAGAGCGUGACCCCCCACACGGGUACUGAGACACGGACCCGACUCCUACGGGAGGCAGCAGUAAGGAAUAUUGGACAAUGGGCGAAAGCCUGAUCCAGCCAUCCCGCGUGCAGGAUGACGGCCCUAUGGGUUGUAAACUGCUUUUAGAUAAGAAGAAACCCCCUCUUUUAAGAGGGGCUGACGGUACUAUCAGAAUAAGCACCGGCUAACUCCG